rnacentral:rRNA from 1 species
CACACGAUUCUCGGCAACGGAUAUCUCGGCUCUCGCAUCGAUGAAGAACGUAGCGAAAUGCGAUACCUGGUGUGAAUUGCAGAAUCCCGCGAACCAUCGAGUCUUUGAACGCAAGUUGCGCCCGAGGCCACUCGGCCGAGGGCACGCCUGCCUGGGCGUCACGC